rnacentral:rRNA from 1 species
GGGGAAUAUUGCACAAUGGGCGCAAGCCUGAUGCAGCAACGCCGCGUGAGGGAUGACGGCCUUCGGGUUGUAAACCUCUUUUAGUAGGGAAGAAGCGAAAGUGACGGUACCUGCAGAAAAAGCACCGGCUAACUACGUGCCAGCAGCCGCGGUAAUACGUAGGGUGCAAGCGUUGUCCGGAAUUAUUGGGCGUAAAGAGCUCGUAGGCGGUUUGUCGCGUCUGCUGUGAAAUCCCGAGGCUCAACCUCGGGCCUGCAGUGGGUACGGGCAAACUAGAGUGUGGUAGGGGAGAUUGGAACUCCUGGUGUAGCGGUGGAAUGCGCAGAUAUCAGGAAGAACACCGAUGGCGAAGGCAGAUCUCUGGGCCAUUACUGACGCUGAGGAGCGAAAGCGUGGGGAGCGAAC